rnacentral:rRNA from 1 species
GACGAACCGUGCGAACGUUGUUCGGAAUCACUGGGCUUAAAGGGCGCGUAGGCGGACGUCCAAGUCCGGGGUGAAAUCCCCCGGCUCAACCGGGGGACUGCCUGGGAUACUGGACGUCUCGAGGGAGGUAGGGGCGCGCGGAACUUCCGGUGGAGCGGUGAAAUGCGUAGAUAUCGUCUGGAACGCCGAAGGUGAAAACAGCUCGCUGGGAUUGUGCUGACGCUGAGACACGAAAGCCAGGGGAGCGAACGGG